UAAGAAAAGUAAACAAGUUGUUAAGGCCCCUUAUCUCUAUAAAAAAAAUGGAGGCAUAAAAUUGCUGAAGAGUAAAAAAUAAUGAUGGCUAAUGUCUUAAGAUUUUUUGUUGCGAUUACCAACCAUUUAGAUUAGUGUAGUAAAUCAUGUAUUGAUAAUGUCAUCAAGAAGACGGCAAAUCCAGACAAUCUACAGUCAAAUUCAACAAUAGACACCAGGAUAUAGAUAUUGAGGUUAAGGAGCCUGGUCUGCCUGAUACUUUCAGUAUUAGCGCCACCUCUAUCCUUGGUACCACCAGCAGUAGAAGCAAUUAAGAAAAGUAAACAAGUUGUUAAGGCCCCUUAUCUCUAUAAAAAAAAUGGAGGCAUAAAAUUGCUGAAGAGUAAAAAAAUAAUGAUGGCUAAUGUCUUAAGAUUUUUUGUUGCGAUUACCAACCAUUUAGAUUAGUGUAGUAAAUCAUGUAUUGAUAAUGUCAUCAAGAAGACGGAAAAUCCAGACAAUCUACAGUCAAAUUCAACAAUAGACACCAGGAUAUAGAUAUUGAGGUUAAGGAGCCUGGUCUGUCUGAUACUUUCAGUAUUAGCGCUACCUCUAUCCUUGGUACCACCAGCAGCAGAAGCAAUUAAGAAAAGUAAACAAGUUGUUAAGGCCCCUUAUCUCUAUAAAAAAAAUGGAGGCAUAAAAUUGCUGAAAAGAGUAAAAAAUAAUGAUGGCUAAUGUCUUAAGAUUUUUUAUUGUUUUAUUGCGAUUACCAACCCUUUAGAUUAGUGUAGUAAAUCAUGUAUUGAUAAUGUCAUCAAAGAGACGGAAAAUCCAGACAAUCUACAGUCAAAUUCAAAUAGGCACCAGGAUGUAGAUAUUGAGGUUAAGGAGCCUGGUCUAUCUGAUACUUUCAGUAUUAGCGCCACCUGUAUCCUUGGUACCACCAGCAGCAGAAGCAAUUAAGAAAAGUAAACAAGUUGUUAAGGCCCCUUAUCUCUAUUAAAAAAAACGGAGGCAAAAAUUGCUAAAAAAAAUUGAUGGCUAAUGUCUUAAGACUUUUUAUUGCGAUUACCAACCCUUUAGAGUAGUGUAGUAAAUCAUAUAUUGAUAAUGCCAUCAAGGAUGAGGAUAAUGCCAUCGAGGUUUAAUCAGGUUCAAUAAAAAAGUUCGGUACACUGGUAAAACAAUUAUUUUUAUGAACAGCAUUAAGUAAAGUAUAAUAAGAAAAUAAUCAGUUCAGAUCUUGAAAUAUCUGUGAUUCGAUUCUGGUGAAACAUGGCGAACAAGAAGGAAGAGUCGCGUGCUCCGCUUUGCGGAUUUUGCAAAACGAAAGCAAUAAUUAAGCGCGUAAAGUGCAGGUGCUGUGCAACAUACUUUCUUA
rnacentral:lncRNA from 1 species